rnacentral:rRNA from 1 species
GACGAACGCUGGCGGCGUGCCUAAUACAUGCAAGUUGAGCGAUGAAGAUUGGUGCUUGCACCAAUUUGAAGAGCAGCGAACGGGUGAGUAACGCGUGGGGAAUCUGCCUUUGAGCGGGGGACAACAUUUGGAAACGAAUGCUAAUACCGCAUAACAACUUUAAACAUAAGUUUUAAGUUUGAAAGAUGCAAUUGCAUCACUCAAAGAUGAUCCCGCGUUGUAUUAGCUAGUUGGUGAGGUAAAGGCUCACCAAGGCGAUGAUACAUAGCCGACCUGAGAGGGUGAUAGGCCACAUUGGGACUGAGACACGGCCCAAACUCCUACGGGAGGCAGCAGUAGGGAAUCUUCGGCAAUGGACGAAAGUCUGGCCGAGCAACGCCGCGUGAGUGAAGAAGGUUUUCGGAUCGUAAAACUCUGUUGGUAGAGAAGAACGUUGGUGAGAGUGGAAAGCUCAUCAAGUGACGGUAACUACCCAGAAAGGGACGGCUAACUACGUG